CCUACGGGUGGCAGCAGUGGGGAAUAUUGGGCAAUGGAGGCAACUCUGACCCAGCAACGCCGCGUGAAUGAUGAAGGUCUUCGGAUUGUAAAGUUCUUUUCUAAGGGAAGAAGAAAGUGACGGUACCUUAGGAAUAAGCCUCGGCUAACUACGUGCCAGCAGCCGCGGUAAUACGGAGGAUGCGAGCGUUAUCCGGAUUUAUUGGGUUUAAAGGGUGCGUAGGCGGAAUGCCAAGUCAGCGGUAAAAUCGCGGGGCUCAACCUCGCUCCGCCGUUGAAACUGGCGUUCUUGAGUGGGCGAGAAGUAUGCGGAAUGCGUGGUGUAGCGGUGAAAUGCAUAGAUAUCACGCAGAACUCCGAUUGCGAAGGCAGCAUACCGGCGCCCAACUGACGCUGAAGCACGAAAGCGUGGGUAUCGAACAGGAUUAGAUACCCCAGUAGUC
rnacentral:rRNA from 1 species